rnacentral:rRNA from 1 species
CAGCCGCCGCGGUAAUACGAAGGGGGCUAGCGUUGCUCGGAAUCACUGGGCGUAAAGGGCGCGUAGGCGGAUUUCUAAGUCAGAGGUGAAAGCCUGGAGCUCAACUCCGGAAUUGCCUUUAAGACUGCCGAGCUAGUAGGUGAGAGAGGUAAGUGGAAUUCCGAGUGUAGAGGUGAAAUUCGUAGAUAUUCGGAAGAACACCAGUGGCGAAGGCGGCUUACUGGCUCAUUCUAGACGCUGAGGUGCGAAAGCGUGGGGAGCAAACAGGAUUAGAUACCCCAGUAGUCCCUGUCUCUUAUAC